AACUAUAUAAAAAAGCAGAAAAGUGGACACGAAAUUUUUGUUUGAGUACUCCCUUAAUGAAUUUCUCCUAGGUGCAUUGAUUGAUUUUAAAAGAGAGUAAUAAUUUUGACACACAAUUUCUUUUACACUGUUGAUGUCUUGUUUUAACUUGUGCAGAAUACUAGAAACCAUUGAACCUGCCAAUCCCCGUGCAAGCAGCUGCAUCUUUGCCUGAGGUUGCACGAAGAAGGAAGUUCCGUUCCCCUGAUCUCAUCGGCUAACUUUCUUCAUGGGAGUCCCGGUUGUCAGCAGAAGAUUGCAACAAAGUACUCCAGGGUGAAAAUCAAGCCUUUUCGGUUAGCUGAAAUGGUGGGCCUCCUAAUCAAACAUGGCUCCAGAGCCCACGAGGAGCUCUUCAUGGAACUUCAGAUGCUUCACGAGUGUGAGCCUGCACCCACAGACAAUAUUAUCUUGAGACGAUCCUUCCAGUGAAGUGGAUUCCAGCUCCAAGAAUACUGCCAGCGAUGAUAAUUGACGAAGCGAAUGAAGCUAAAAUAAAAGGUUUUCAGAUUCUGCACAAAGCCACUAGCACAUCCACUGAAUUUCAAUACAAAUAAAUGUCUGUAUGGGUCGCCCCAGAGAAUGUAUCACAAAAUUUAAUUUAAAAAUGCAGCCCUUAUACAGAACGUCAGCUUUUCAAUUAAGUUUUGGGUUCUGGAACAUAUUAAGAAUAGAACUUAAGGCAGGUUAUGGUCGGAAUACUUUUUUGGGAUAGCUUAGUACACAGCCCAAAGGAGCCACAAAGUGGCACACCGUCAUUUAGGGUUGCCACCUGGCCAGUUUUCCACCAGCACAGCUAGCUGGUUGGUCCCUCAAGCUGCCGGUUGCCGGUUUAACUCGUGCACCGGCACACCACUUACGAUUUUUCGGUUCUCCCUUAAUCAACACAUUGUAAUUUGCAUUGCCAACAUUCUGUCGGGCAUUCUUUCAUAGCAUACAACAUAAUUGUCACAAGCAGAUUCAUCCCCAAUUCCUUAAAUGGUUCAGUUGUGAAACUUUCGUGUUAUCCAAAGCUGCGAGACUGAGCAGUCCAUCUUUUUCGCCUGAGCUUUCUCUUACUAACCUAACCUAACAAGUGCAAUUUCUACUUCCGUACAAUAAAUUUUGUCAGCGGCCACCCACAGGUAGUUGGCGCUUAUUGCAUCAGCUGGCACAGCCCACGAGUGAAAUGGAUUUACACUGUUGAUUCUCCUGCCCCCACACAACCCUGAGCUACGGAAACACUAAGCUGGCUUUUAACUUUACCUGCUGAUCUUUUUUUUAUUUUUCAAUGUGUACCAAAAUUUUGUAUAAAGUCAUGCAGUCACUACUUUAUUGCAUUAAUUUUGUCUGUUUUUGCAUGCAGUAGUUAUUGCAAAAAAUGCCUCGCGUUGUUAAAUUUCUUUUUCAAAAAAGGUAGCAGCCAUAAUUAGCCGCAGGAAACCAAUUGUACAUACAACUAGUCGCCCUUAUCUAGGCUUUUAUUCGAGGACUCCCACACAAGCCGAAUGUGUGACACAUGCUCUGAGCAUACCAGAGCAAGCACACCAGAGCCCUCUCCGAGAAGGCGCAGAAAGCUGGUACAACGCAAGCUACUCGGGCUGACACGACGGUACUGGCAAUGCAGAGAAAAGGAAGCGAGGAGUAGUCACCGUGACCGGAACUUCGCCAGAUCUCAAAGGCACUCCCGCAAGAAGUCGCGAGAGGAGCAGAGCACACCAAGACGAAGGUGAUUAAAAUACAACAGUCGAAUUUAGCUGAGGUGUCAGAUUUCGACCAAUCGAAUGUAAGGUGCUGCGACAGAGUGCUCUAGAGCUCUCAGAAGAGACUAGUCAAAUGUACCGUAACUUAUACACCUAUGUGCAAAUUUUCCUACUGCAAUACUAGAGCAGUCAGCACAAUAGGUGGUGCUUUCAAUUGACAUUCAUGAAGAGCACACUUCUUUAAAUCCAAAACCACUAUAAGCUCUCUAAAUGCAGAUUUCAGUUCAAUUACUAUAAUGAUGAAACCAUGGAGAAAGUAAAAACUAGAAGUGAGUGUCAGGUGACAAUGUUGGAAGUAUACUCAUACAAAAUAGAAGCAAAGGUUCAUGGGCCAAGAGCCCUCACCAUGUGAAAGGUGGGAAGUAAUAUUUAGCUACCUUGAGGACAAGUUGUGAAGUUUGGUGGAGAGCAUGGCAUAGGCUUAUGAUAUGGGUGUCGCUAAGAGCUGCCACAAACCAAACACUUCCUCAAAGGUCCAGUGACUGUGCGCAGGCCGCGUUCGCAGGAGCCAGUGCAUUGACAAGCCCCAAAGGGAGAUGGAAGGUGAAGGGCAGCAUCAGAGACCUUGCUGCUGAGCAUAGCUGCACGACAUCAUGCUUCCUCCCAUUUUUUUUUUUUUUUUUCAUCUUUCUCCAUGGAUGAAACAUAUUCACAAAAUGCCCCAUUUUGCCAGCAGCGGUUACCCAAGGCAGUGAAUUUUUGCAUGACACUAAUGCAAUAGUCAUUAUUAUUGGUUUUGAAAUAUCGGCAUUUGCUAUGCUUCUAGUAGUUCUGGAUUAGAGGAAUUGUGGCACUUGAAUGCACUGCUUCUUGUGCUGACUCAGUACAGUGGGAAACCUAAUAAGUUUGUGUGGAUAUGCAGACAAGGUUGGCCUUUUCUGGUCAAUGGUAGUGCCCAUCAACUGACACUUCGCCAGAUCAUAGCUAUAUUAGGCAGCAUAGCAAGCCAUAUUAAAGUCGUCUCACGGCCAAAAAGAAAGUUAUCAAGGGACUCCAUUUCAGGUUUGGGUUCAGGUCUGCUUCGACACCCUGUCUGAUACAAACAUGACUCUCCUCUAGACAGUUUCCGGGUUAUAGAAUGUCAAGCAGCCAGAUAUGUACUGAAACUACAUUUCACUUGCAAUUAUAAGACGUUUCCAAAGUUUUCAUUAAUUCAUGUUUCAACCAGACAUAGUACUCGUAGCAGAUCAGUGCUUACCAGUCUUGUAUCGCAGCCAUUUUCGGUGCUGCCUACUGUGGGAACAUUUCAGGUACUUUUAUGCAAACUCUCUUCAUAGCUUCCUUUACAACUGCACCAGAAUAUCAACCUUUUCUCAAGUACAGACCGCAAUGUAAUCAGUGAACACUUUAAAUUACACUACAGUCGGAUCAGCAGUUCUAAAUUUGGCCUUAUUAUCAAUGACCUCCCCUUAACUUUGUUUGCUCUUGUGUUAGCCCCAAGAAAUAACUGCAUUUAUGAAAGGGGGCUCCACAAAAUGCAAGAGUCAGUGCCUUGGUUGCAUUGGUAAUGUAUGUGACAUUAUUCUUACUAUGGUAAUGCAACAGCAAAAUGUCACUUCUUUGCUGUCUAAAAUGAAUAGUACAAACAAAGACUUUGACAUAAGGAAGAUUAGACAAGAGAGGAGAAGAAAUAUUUUGCCCGUUAUGUGUCCGUUCUGUUAAUUUUAAAUGCUACGUGCCAAUUAGCCUACUGUUUACUGCCUUUUUACCAGCAUUUCCCCAGAUGUCGGACACGGGAGGAAUAACAGAACCAAGGAAAUGGCUGCUGGAUUUCACAUUUUCAUAACAUGCAAAUACCCUGAAAUAAACUUUCUUGACUAGCUCUCAGAAGCAAAUAUUUUUGAUAACACAGGCAGCAUAACUUUGCAGAAGGUAGCUUGUUACUACAUGGUCAAGAAUGCACAAACCAAAGCUGGAGAUACAACAUCGGCCACACCCUCUUCACAAAUGCAUAUGUACAACUUAAAAAAAAAAAAAAAAUACUAGAGAGGGCUGCCUGUUAUCAUAGAGCCAUGUCCAACUUCUCAGUGAGGUGUGCUGGCUACAAAUCUGUUUGUAACCAGCUCACCAGGUAAAGUACACUAUUAAAAUUGCCAUAAUCAAAUGCCUGAUGAUGGAAGUUUCUGCAAAGUUUUGAUUUAAGUGCAACUCCUACAAUAUAUGAAACAUUUACAGUAAAAUUUCACUCCUAGCUGAUGCAAUUUUCAAGUUCUAGCUUUACAAUGGUAAAAAACAUGCCUACUUACGAGCAUAAGGUGCACAAGCUAUUAGUGCAUUUCAGCUUUCUCAUUGUGACACUGCAAUAAAAUCACUAAAAGAGCAUGCAAUAAAAUUUGGAGGCUAUAGCAAACCACACUCCUUUCUGCUAACUGAACAAUAGUGUUAACAGCUGGAAGAGGUACAGCUGACAGUUACUUAAGGCACAAUCCACACAGCUUGAAGUGUGUAAUGCAGUAAGCAAUUAUCACAGCAGCCAGUGCAUAAAAACAAGCUGCAACCUUUUGAUCAGAAUAUAUAACACUGAACAUCAGAUGCAUAUAUGUCAUGUGCAAAGUGACUUCUUACACUUCAAUUGCAUAUGCAUUCAACUGGCUGUUCAACCAUAAUUGUAGUCAUUUUUAUAUAUGACAACCAGACUGCAUAUUUCAUAUUUUAUUUGAAACAUUCACACGUUAAAUUCAUGUUAUCGGAACCAUUCCGUGGCACAAAACAAGCCUUUUCUUUCUUUCUUUUUUUCUAUCUUGGUUCCAUAAAAAACUUGAUUCUAAGUCUUGCUCAACCAGAGCACAACUCUCUUGCUAUUUUUGUAACACACAGAAGUGGUUGUUCUUGCCAUGUAUGCACAACAGUUAUCACCCUAAAAAAGAAACACCCAGUCGACCGAAAUCCGCCAGUGAUUGCCCUUUAGCAGGGAACAAAUGAAGGUUUCCUGGAUGGUCGAUGGAGU
rnacentral:lncRNA from 1 species